rnacentral:lncRNA from 1 species
CUCUGCACUUCAAUAUUUAUUUUUGCUCCUCCACCAGCUGGACACCAUAAUCCCGUUUGAGAGGUUGUACUGUUACACCUCUAGCAUUAGUAAGCUGUGUUAAGUCAAUUGGUUGCGUAGGGUCAACUCUACCCAAAUCAAUCAGGUACUGCAGCUUCUGAAGACUGAGUGGAUGAUACUGACGUCGGCAGCUAUGUCCCUCAUUAAACCCGUAUUUUGGUAUAGACAAAUAAAAUGGAGUUUGGCCACCUUCAAAGCCUAAGCGGGGGCGAUUUCCUCUUUGUCUUUCCCCUUUGUGACCUCGACCACACUUUCUACCUCUGUAUCGUCCACGGCCACGUCUUCUCUCCGGCUUUUUUGAACCCGGAUUGGGCCUCAGGUUGGCCAGGCUGACCUUAGGCAGCGACCGCAGCAGUUGCAGAGCCCCAUGCACGCCGUGCACACCAUUCCCGCUCAUCGCCACUGCCCUCCCAAGGACGACGACAGCGCUCCGCAGGCAGAGCUGCUUUACGGCAAGAGCCGUAAACCGCGCCUCCCAGCACUGUCGUGCGGUGCCAUACCCUGGGAGGGCGAGAGCGCGCCGGGGGUGGCACAAGAUGGCGGCGAUUAGAGGCGUGCAUUUGCGCUCUGUCAGAUAGCUGCCAGUGGGCUACGUCCUGCAAGAGCAGGGAAGCGCGAGUCCUCUCAGCAGACAAUACCAACGGCUUAGGUCACAAACUGGACUUAGUUCUUCACUAUUCUGUUAUUUGCACUGCCCCCAACCCCGUGUUUUAAAGCCAAGCCUUUAAAACUGUUAGGCUGCAUAUGAACAGGAGUAUGCUGGUAUGGGAAACCAUCUGUGUCGAUUUCAGCCACUAGAAUAGAGGAAAUACACAGUUUAGAGCACGUUCUGCCUUGUAAAGUUCUCAGUACCUUAAAUUAGGUAGAAAAAUAUUCAUAUGCAGAUAACUCACUGUAAAGACAUCCAACUCGCAAGGCUUUGAAGGAUUCACAAUUCAAAAGCUUAUACUGGUUCCUUCAGGAAGCCAAGCCCUGUGCUGUUUGCCUGCAGGCAGCAGGCUGCCCUGUGCCCCACUGCCCUUCUGCUGUUGUGCAACUCCCAGCCGCCCUAUGUGCGCAGAGCUGUGUUGCUCUGGCAGUGCUGGCAGUUCAGCUGACGUCAGUCCAGAUGCAAUGAUCAACCGCUUGGCCCAGCUGUCAACAGGCAUCAGGCCCUGUGUUGCAUCAGGCCACCGCAGGAGAGUUAUCUUUAUUGAAUAAGAAAGACAAUCUGGUAAACAUCACUGUAGCAGAUUUGAGUUGGGUACCAUACGUGUGACAAGAACUAAAGCACGGAGAUAAAACAUAGAAGCCGUGUUAAAAUUAAUUUGGCAACAGCGGGAACUCCCUGCCACAGAUACUAGAUAUCAAAACAGCAUCACAAUCAUGGAAAAAAAGGUAGUGUAAACUUGAAGUUAUACAGUUGGUGCAAAGACCUCUCCAACAUAAGUUAUGCAGCCAUGCUGACAAAGAUAUUAAGACUUGAGCAGAAUUUACUUAGUAGAAAACUACCCCUGCCUGGUAUGGAACAUGUCAGCAGGAUGGAUACGCAGUGCACUUUCAGCUGCUGUUUGAGUUGCCAAAUAGCAUCUGUGCUAGGCAG